GACAGAGGGUGCAAACGUUGUUCGGAAUUACUGGGCGUAAAGCGCGCGCAGGCGGUCCUUCAAGUCAGAGGUGAAAGCCCAGAGCUCAACUCUGGAACGGCCUUUGAGACUAGAGGACUUGGGUACGGGAGAGGUGAGUGGAAUUCCGAGUGUAGAGGUGAAAUUCGUAGAUAUUCGGAAGAACACCAGUGGCGAAGGCGGCUCACUGGCCCGUUACCGACGCUCAGGCGCGACAGCGUGGGGAGCAAACAGG
rnacentral:rRNA from 1 species